rnacentral:tRNA from 1 species
CCUUCAAUAGCUCAGCUGGUAGAGUGGAGGACUGUAGAUCCUUAGGUUGCUGGUUCAACUCUAGCUUGAAGGA